rnacentral:rRNA from 1 species
AACGAACGCUGGCGGCAUGCCUAACACAUGCAAGUCGAACGAGACCUUCGGGUCUAGUGGCGCACGGGUGCGUAACGCGUGGGAAUCUGCCCUUGGGUUCGGAAUAACAGUUAGAAAUGACUGCUAAUACCGGAUAAUGUCUUCGGACCAAAGAUUUAUCGCCCAGGGAUGAGCCCGCGUAGGAUUAGCUAGUUGGUGAGGUAAAGGCUCACCAAGGCGACGAUCCUUAGCUGGUCUGAGAGGAUGAUCAGCCACACUGGGACUGAGACACGGCCCAGACUCCUACGGGAGGCAGCAGUGGGGAAUAUUGGACAAUGGGCGAAAGCCUGAUCCAGCAAUGCCGCGUGAGUGAUGAAGGCCUUAGGGUUGUAAAGCUCUUUUACCCGGGAUGAUAAUGACAGUACCGGGAGAAUAAGCCCCGGCUAACUCCGUGCCAGCAGCCGCGGUAU